UGGCAGCUUAGGCUGUGUUAUAGCCCUGGGGCGAUACAGUGGAGUGGACUGAGGUUUCGCAGUGUGUGCUCUCGGGCAAGGCUGACUGGGUGCUAUGGGAUCGUUCGGCGUACAAUGCAUGCAUUUUGCGUCGUGUCUUUUUCAUACUCGCCCAACUCGGCUCUUCCACGCUUAGGAUGUUGACUUAAUGGUUUUAAACGA
rnacentral:rRNA from 1 species